rnacentral:tRNA from 1 species
GCAGUCGUGGCCGAGUGGUUAAGGCGAUGGACUAGAAAUCCACGGGGUCUCCCCGCACAGGUUCGAAUCCUGUCAACUGCG